rnacentral:rRNA from 1 species
CCAGACUCCUACGGGAGGCAGCAGUGGGGAAUAUUGCACAAUGGGGGAAACCCUGAUGCAGCGACGCCGCGUGAGUGAGGAAGUAUUUCGGUAUGUAAAGCUCUAUCAGCAGGGAAGAAAAUGACGGUACCUGACUAAGAAGCCCCGGCUAACUACGUGCCAGCAGCCGCGGUAAUACGUAGGGGGCAAGCGUUAUCCGGAUUUACUGGGUGUAAAGGGAGCGUAGACGGCUAAUCAAGUCAGAAGUGAAAACCCAGGGCUCAACCUUGGGACUGCUUUUGAAACUGAGUAGCUAGAGUGCAGGAGAGGUAAGCGGAAUUCCUAGUGUAGCGGUGAAAUGCGUAGAUAUUAGGAGGAACACCAGUGGCGAAGGCGACUUUCUGGACUGUACCUGACGCUGAGGCGCGAAAGCGUGGGUAGCGAACGGGAUUAGAUACCCUUGUAC